rnacentral:rRNA from 1 species
UACAGAGGUGGCAAGCGUUGUUCGGAAUUACUGGGCGUAAAGGGCGCGUAGGCGGUCUUCUAAGUCUUGUGUGAAAUCCCUCGGCUCAACUGAGGAACUGCACGGGAUACUGGAAGACUUGAGUUCGGGAGAGGGAAGCGGAAUUCCGGGUGUAGCGGUGAAAUGCGUAGAUAUCCGGAGGAACACCGGUGGCGAAGGCGG